AUAGAGAAAGGCCAAGCCCAUUUCUUCUUGGAUACUCAUCACGAGGGCCCUCCAGAAGCUAUGCAGGAAUCGCAAAGCCAGAUAUUAUGGCUCCAGGGGCACUUAUUCUUGCAGCAGUUCCACCUAAUAUCCCUUCGGUUUCUAUUGAGAACCUACAAUUAACCACUGAUUACGAGCUUAAAUCAGGCACAUCCAUGGCUGCACCUCAUGCAGCUGGAAUUGCAGCAAUGUUAAAAGGCGCACAUCCUGAUUGGAGUCCUUCAGCAAUUCGCUCUGCCAUGAUGACAACCGCAAACCAUUUGAAUAGUGCACAAGAUCCUAUUACAGAGGACGACGACAUGGUAGCCUCGCCUCUAGGCAUCGGAUCAGGGCAUGUUGAUCCAAACAGGGCACUUGAUCCCGGCCUAGUAUAUGAUGCUACUCCACAAGAUUACAUAAAUCUUAUAUGCUCUUUGAAUUUCACAGAAGAGCAGUUCAAAACAUUCGCAAGAUCAUCAGCCAAUUAUCACAACUGCUCAAAUCCAUCAGCUGAUCUCAAUUAUCCAUCAUUCAUUGCCUUUUAUUCAUACAGCCAGGAGGGUAACUACCCCUGGUUGGAACAGAAAUUCAGGAGAACCCUUACAAAUGUUGGUAAAGGUGGGGCAACUUAUAAAGUAAAAAUAGAGUCUCCCAAGAACUCUACAAUUUCAGUGUCACCACAAACAUUGGUGUUCAAGAACAAAAAUGAGAAGCAAAGCUAUACUUUGACAAUUCGCUAUAGAGGCGACUUCAACUCAGGUCAAACUGGGUCUAUCACUUGGGUUGAAAAGAAUGGAAAUCGUUCAGUAAGAAGUCCAAUAGUGUUAACUACCACAGUUGAUUUGUGGGGUGCAGAAGAUUAAGAUUUAUGAUCAUGACGUUAUGUAUGCUUAAUGAACAAGUUUGUGUUAGAAAGAGUUCAAUAAGCUUUCCUAGCAAUGUACUACAUAUAAAUAAUUUGCCUAAUAAGAUAAACAGCAUAGAACUCUUUUAGCAUGAAAUAUUUCUUUUAGCAUUUGAAAAAGUUUAAAAUAACAUACUGGAGAUAUUUAUCAAUUAUUAAAAAGUUAAACAUAAAUGUUUCUGGUUGGAAAUCCAAAUACUUUUCAAACGAUAAUUUGGAAUGAACAAUAUAAGUGAAGAAGUUGAUGGAUCGAUGACAAUUUUGAGCCUUUCUUAGAGGGCAUGGCAAUAUUGAAAAAUUUAUUUGUUUGUUAAACAGAAGACAUUUUCAAUUCAAUACCAGAUCUCAAACAGAAAGACAUUUUCUAUCUUAAAGUUCGAACCUGAAAUUUAGUAGGACAGAAUCUCAACUGUCCCACCAUAUUAGUGUAUGUACUUUUAAAUUCUGGUUAAACCCAAAAGUUAGUAGCUCACGAGGUAAGAAUUCAUUAAGUCCAUCCAUAUAACUAAGCCACUAGUUUAUCCCCCGAAACUCUAACAGCAGAGUUACUAAUUCUUAAAGCAUAAUUAAUUUCAUCAGUUGUGAAUGAAUUUCCAGAAUAUCUAUCAACUUCCGGAGGCAGAUAGAGACACGAGUAACAAACUUCACUUCACUUCAUGUUGUUGAUGCUCUACUACUAAUUCUGCAAGUUACAUGAUGAUCAGAAUCUAUAUGCAGAUGAUCCUAGAUUGGAUCGGUAAGUUCUUUGUUACUAUGACACUCUCUUAGUGAGGCUCUUUAACGAAUGCUUAAGCCUUGAACAUAAAUUGUGUAAAUGAACAUUCAUAUCAAAUUAUUUGUGAUGAUGGGUGUUAGAUUAGCGGGCUGGAUCAAACUUAGAACGUGUUAAAGUGGAUUGAUUUCGUAACCAAAUAAUGACCAAUCCAAGAAACACAAUCAAAUGAUUUCCCUGAAAACCCAAAUACUAACAGUGUAGGUACAUACAUACGUUUAUUUGGUUUAAAGUAAGUUGUAAAGGAUCUUCAAGAUCCCCAGACUUCUUACAGUGUGAUUUCCAUUCUUUUCAACCCAUAAUUAACACAAAACUUCGGAUUGCCUCUAUAGUGAAUACUCAAACUAUAGCUCUUUUUCUCAUAUUUUCUCCCAAAAGCUAAAACUUGUGGGGAUACUGAUAGUCUGGCAUUUUCUGGGAGUUUCCACUUUUGCUGUAUAUUUAGCUGCACCAGAACCAACAUUCGGUAACCAUCCUUGUGAAUUUCUUGACCAAUCAAGGGAAAUUUUUCCUCUCAAGGUCAGAUUCCCAUAGAGCAAUGCAUGAUGGAUAGUUGAGAUCAGCUGAUGGAUUUGAGUAGUUGUGGUAAUUGGCUGAUGAUCUUGCAAAUGUUUUGAAUUGCUCUUUAUAGUGCAUAUAAGAUUGACGUAGUCUUGUGAAGUAGCAUCAUAUAUUAGUCCUGGAUCAAGAGCUUGAUUUGGAUCAAUGAAUCCUGCUCCCAUGUUUAAUGGUGUGGCUGGUUCGUUAGUAUUAGAAUAGAUGAUUCAAACACCAACAGGACAACAAUUUUCAAACUAAUCUAAGACUUGUCCUAUUCCAGAAUCAACAAUGUAACCUUGUAAUAAUUGAACCAUUCACUUUCGGUCAGAGUUAUUUUUUAGGAAACAUGAUAUAAGUUGAGUGCCCAUUUGAGAAAUUUACCCUCAACUAGUAGCUUUUAAAAGGUCAUGAGCUAUAAUUCCUAGUAAAAUAUCUUAAUUUUUUUUUUCUUGAAAGCCCUAUGUUUACCAAAAUAUCUUACAUUAUAAUGAUAUAUACCUUAUAAGACAAUUCAAGGGGACCCAACUGAAUAUAUCCACUUGGGUUGGAAAGGGUGGGAGGCAUCACUAUCUACUUAUCUAAAUGUGCUUAAUUAGCUGGCUACUUGUAGCAGUCCCUACUCUGCAGGUGGACUGGUGAGGUCUUUAAAGUCUCAUUUAUUCAAGCAAAGUCUAAGACUUCUCAACAUGUAUGUUAGUACAAAUGAAAGUAACUACUCAAAUGAAGGUAACAAGAGUUUCAAAAACCCAAACAGUUUUCAAAAAGAAUGAUAUUAUUAUCUGUUUUUUUCUUUCAGAAAUUCACUUUUAAGUUCUGUAUAGUUUGCUUAGACAUUAGAUCACUAUCCAAAAUUCAAUGGGCACGAUUAAUCCAGAAUUAGGAGAUAAAGCUCCAUCCGCCAAGUGCCAACCCCCUCCCGGCCCACUACCUACUACUGCAUGAUUGAUUUGAGUCAUUCAUCAAAUUAGGGACCACGGAAUAUGUAUCUAUGGCCUUUUCCCCCUGGUUCAGUAUCACCUCCACAGCUCCACUGCACAAUUGCUCUGUUCAUUCAUAAAACUUGAUUGGGUAAGUUUACUUUUACACAAAUCUUCUGUCAUUUCUACAUUAGUCACUCAAGAACUCUUCUCCACCUAACGGUAUUAAUUGUUACAAGGACCUGAUCUUUCAUUGCACUCUUAUAUAGAGUCAAUUGAAGAUUUGAGUGGUGUGUAGUGAAUAAAUAUGGAAACUAGAAUACUGCUGUGGCUUUAUUCUCCAUAUCUAGUCUUGUUGUCAUGGGCACUUUCUGCUCAUCUCUUUUUAGCUAUAGCACAAAGAUCCACUUAUAUUGUCCAUUUGGAUAAAUCUUUAAUGCCUAAUGUCUUUCUUGAUGACCAUCAUUGGCAUUCUUCUACAAUUGAUUCCAUCAAAGCUUCUGCUCCUUCAUCAGCAGACAGAUUCCACUUUGCUCCAAAACUUGUUUACUCUUAUGACCAUGUGUUUCAUGGCUUCAGUGCUGUUUUGUCCAAAGAUGAACUGGCAGCGUUGAAGAAGUCACCAGGUUUCAUCUCAGCUUAUAAAGACAGAACUGUGGAACCUGACACUACUUACACAUCUGAUUACCUCAAACUCAAUCCCUCAUCUGGUCUAUGGCCAGCUUCUGGUUUAGGCCAAGAUGUGAUCAUUGGUGUUCUUGACGGUGGCAUCUGGCCCGAAUCUGCAAGUUUUCAAGAUGAUGGUAUUCCUGAAAUCCCCAAAAGAUGGAAAGGAAUUUGCACUCCAGGCACCCAGUUUAACACUUCCAUGUGCAACAGAAAACUCGUUGGGGCUAAUUACUUCAACAAGGGCCUUUUGGCUGAUGAUCCCACUCUGAACAUUUCCAUGAAUUCUGCUAGGGAUACUAAUGGCCAUGGCACACAUUGCGCUUCCAUUGCUGCUGGGAACUUUGCGAAAGGUGUUUCCCAUUUUGGAUAUGCACAAGGAACAGCAAGAGGGGUUGCCCCACAAGCUAGGAUAGCUGUAUACAAGUUUAGCUUUCGUGAAGGAAGCUUAACAUCGGAUCUAAUUGCUGCUAUGGACCAAGCUGUUGCAGACGGUGUUGACAUGAUAUCCAUUUCUUUUAGUAACCGUUUCAUUCCCUUAUAUGAAGAUGCUAUAUCUAUUGCUUCUUUUGGAGCUAUGAUGAAGGGAGUGCUGGUUUCAGCUUCAGCUGGAAAUCGAGGUCCAAGUUGGGGAACUUUAGGCAAUGGAUCUCCAUGGAUCUUGUGCGUGGCAGCAGGCUUCACCGACCGGACGUUUGCAGGAACGUUAACUUUGGGCAAUGGAUUAAAAAUAAGGGGGUGGAGCUUGUUUCCUGCAAGAGCCUUUGUCAGGGAUUUUCCGGUGAUUUACAAUAAGACUCUAUCUGAUUGCAGUUCAGAUGAGUUGUUAUCACAAUUUCCUGAUCCCCAAAACACCAUCAUCAUUUGUGACUAUAAUAAACUUGAAGACGGUUUUGGUUUUGAUAGUCAAAUUUUUCAUGUCACUCAAGCAAGAUUCAUAGCAGGUAUAUUUAUCUCUGAAGAUCCAGCAGUGUUCAGGGUUGCUUCUUUUACCCACCCGGGAGUUGUGAUUGACGAAAAGGAAGGGAAACAAGUCAUCAAUUACGUUAAAAACAGUGUUGCUCCCACUGCUACCAUAACAUUCCAAGAAACAUAUGUGGAUAGAGAAAGGCCAAGCCCAUUUCUUCUUGGAUACUCAUCACGAGGGCCCUCUAGAAGCUAUGCAGGAAUCGCAAAGCCAGAUAUUAUGGCUCCAGGGGCACUUAUUCUUGCAGCAGUUCCACCUAAUAUCUCUUCGGUUUCUAUUGAGAACCUACAGUUAACCACUGAUUACGAGCUUAAAUCAGGCACAUCCAUGGCUGCACCUCAUGCAGCUGGAAUUGCAGCAAUGUUAAAAGGCGCACAUCCUGAUUGGAGUCCUUCAGCUAUUCGCUCUGCCAUGAUGACAACCGCAAACCAUUUGAAUAGUGCACAAGAGCCUAUUACAG
rnacentral:lncRNA from 1 species